rnacentral:misc_RNA from 1 species
AAAUAAUUAAUGAAGGGCAGAGGAGCCCGAUGUUUUGCGGAGGAGUUGUUUUGAUCCAGCUGUUGUGAUAGUGAAGAUGUCCAACGUUGCAGAACAGAUUGCUCUAUAUCAGAGAAAAUUGGAGAAAUAUGCUGGCACAGGGGAGACAGAUAAGCUGUUGUACUACAUCCAUAAAUUGAAAUAUCUACAAGUGACAGUCAGCCACCUAGAGGAAACUGGGGUGGGAAGAUCUGUCAAUGCUCUUCGUCAUCAUUCUGGCCUUGUAGGGGACAAGGCAAGAGCGCUUGUCAACAAAUGGAAGAUGAUGGUGACAGCAGAAGAGGAGGAGGAAGAGGAGGAAGAGGAGGAAGAUGAUGAUAGACAAAGGGGGGAUCAUACUGAGGAAGAUAGGGGAGGAGGAAGAAUAAGUGUCCAACAGUCAGAAAGAGAAGAAGAAGAAGAAGACAAUGAAGGAGCUGGAGUCGAGCCAGAAGAUGAAAUCAGGGAAGAGGAGGAUGAAGAGGACAGACUCCAAAUCGAGGAGUGUGGGGACAAUGCUGAUGACUAUGGGGACGAGGUGGACACAGGGACUUAUGGCUAUGGCCAGCACAGCUCUCCUGCAGGUGGGGACAACAGCAAUGGGUACAACCCCUACACAUCACAGAAGGACUACCAGUUACUUAGCAGCAGCACGGGAGUCUCAGCUGAGUACCAUCCCUCUUGCACGGAUGCCAAAGCCUCUAGUUACAGCUCCCCUGAGGGGUCGUCUGGACCUAGUUGGAAAGAGGCAUCCCCGAGCAUAUCAUCAGACAGGAGAAAUGGCAGCAGCUCCAGCAAGUCCUCUUCCAAGAAGAACAGCAGAGAGGACAAAGAUCGACAUAAAGAGAAGGAAAGACACAAGGAGAGAGAAAAGGAGAGAAGCAGGGAUGGCUCAGGAAACCAAGAAAAGGAAAGAAAAAAGGAACACAAGGAAAAACACAAAGACAAACACAGAGACAAGGAGAGAGAAAAAUCACACAAAGAUAAACACAGGGAGAAAGAUAGAAGUAGUGAUAAGUCUAAAGAAGAGUCAAGAAGAGAGGAGAGUGUAGAUGGACACAGGGAAGAAAAAGACAGAGGAAAGAAGAAAGAUGUGCUCAAUGGUUUUAGUACCCCGGAAAUAGAAAAGAGAUCGAGUGGUAAGCAUGAAAGCAGGGACAGUGCAAAAAGAAAUGUGGAAGAGAGAAGAAAAGAGAAAAGCGAAAAGAGUAGUCAUGGGAAACCAGAAAGUACAAGUAAAGAAAGCUCUAGAGAAAAAGAAGGGAGGGAUAGACAUGAUACAAAUAAAGAGAGUAACCGAGAGAAGGAGAGUGCUAGUAAAGAGAGUAAUAGAGACAGAGAUAGAAGAAAAGAGGAGAAACACAGAGACAAACACAGAGACAGCAGUAAAAGAGAUAGGGACAAAAGUGAUAGAGAGCCAAAAAGUGACCACAGAGAAAUAGAGGACAGUUCAGAAAGUGAGAAAAAAGAUCUGGUUAAGAAGAAGAAAAGCAAAAAACCAGAUGUGAGUGAGGGACUAGACUUCGGUGCAGCUUUGAUGGGCUUAGAAUCACCUGUAAAAAAGAAAAAGAAAAAAAAGAAAAAAGACUCACAGAGAGAGCGAGACAGUUCAGAUGAUGAACAGCCAUCUUCAAGCAAGUCAUCUAAUAAGAGAAUGCUGUCUGAUGGGGGAGGCUUACCAGAUGCCAAGAAGCAAAAAUUAUCGACAAAGCCGCCACCGUUACCUUCCCUGCCGUCCUCAAUAAUGCUGCCGCCAGAGGAACCCUUGCUUCCAGAGAUAACGCCGAAUUACAAGCCACUGCCAAGACUACAGCUAAAAGACGACCCAAUAGAUCACAUGACCUCCAAGAUGACUGAAGAGGAGGCCCUAAAUAUUAUGUUUCAGUCAAAAAAUAACAGACGUAGUAAAAUGUACUCAGGGAAAGUGACUGGAUUGGCCUAUGUGCCAACACUAUAUGAAGCCUGCAUCAGAGUCUUACAAGAAAAUAUUGAUGCGCUGGAGUUUACUGGUGGAAUUCCCUUCGAGAUUCUUCAGCCAGUUUUAGAACGAGCAUCUCCGCAACAGCUUAUAACUCUUGAAGAUUAUAAUUCCUACUUAUUAGAGGAUACAGAUGUAUUAUGGGAAUCUCACUGUAAAAGAGAUUUUAAGAACAAAGUAAAAAUUAGAGGAGAUGGAAACCUGGAGAGAGAUGUGGAUUCGGUGCUUUGAUGAACGAGAAAGGAAGUUGAAGAACCUGACUCAGAAGUUAGGCCAGAAGUUUGUUUCCAAAGCUGAACCAAAGCGUACAACCAAAUUGGCUUUUGUUAACACUGCAUGCAAAGUGCCAAAGAAUGUUGCACGUGCUCAGGCAAAGUAUGGGACAGCAGUUGCAUCAAGCUCUGCAGCAAAACCAGGGAAGGCCAAUGAGGUUGCAGCCAGAAAAACUGCAAUGCAAAAUGUUCAGAGAGCAGAAAGAGCAGCGGCAAAUCCUCCGAGACCAACAUCAG